rnacentral:rRNA from 1 species
AUUGAACGCUGGCGGCAUGCCUUACACAUGCAAGUCGAACGGUAACAGGUCUUCGGAUGCUGACGAGUGGCGAACGGGUGAGUAAUACAUCGGAACGUGCCCGAGAGUGGGGGAUAACGAGGCGAAAGCUUUGCUAAUACCGCAUACGAUCUCAGGAUGAAAGCAGGGGACCGCAAGGCCUUGCGCUCACGGAGCGGCCGAUGGCAGAAUAGGUAGUUGGUGGGAUAAAAGCUUACCAAGCCGGCGAUCUGUAGCUGGUCUGAGAGGACGACCAGCCACACGGGGACUGAGACACGGCCCAGACUCCUACGGGAGGCAGCAGUGGGGAAUUUUGGACAAUGGGCGCAAGCCUGAUCCAGCCAUGCCGCGUGCAGGAUGAAGGCCUUCGGGUUGUAAACUGCUUUUGUACGGAACGAAAAGACUCUGGUUAAUACCUGGGGUCCAUGACGGUACCGUAAGAAUAAGCACCGGCUAACUACGUGCCAGCCGCCGCAGUAAUAC